rnacentral:lncRNA from 1 species
UUCAUAUAAGUCCAUUUUAAUAAAUCCACAUACAAAUGAUCAAAUUAAUGCAUGAAACUUUCACACAUGCAUUUACUCACAUCAUAAACACAGAAUAUAACUUUUAAUUAUUUAUAAGACUCGGUUUCGUGGUCCCAAAACCACUUUUCGACUAGGGUCAAUUUAGAGCUGUCACACGGGCUUAUACCAAAAAUCAAAAAAAAAAAGAAAAGAAAAAAAAACAACAAAUACAAAAUAAACUAAAAUUUAAAUUCCAAAUAUCCAUAAUAAUGUCCAAGUUUUACAAAUUUUCAGGCCCAAAUAAAGAAUCUAUUCUAGCCCAAGUACAUUUUUUAACUUAAACCCUAAACUCGAUUCUAAUAACCUAAAUUAAACCCAAAUUAAAGCUUAACCCAAAAGGGCCCAAAUGAAAAAAUGGCCCAAUAAGCCCGAGUGACCCAGAUGCAGGUUUCAAAAAGGGAAAUCCUAGUCUUCUGAUCAGCGCCGCAGCAAUGGUUUUCACCCUAGCUAUCCGAUUUCAAAGCAGGCCCAAAACAGUGAAGUUUCUGGAACAUGCCAGACCUGCAUGGCUUUCUCCUCCGUACAGUAGUCUCGUGCUCCCAUAGAACCUGCGAGAACAAAGAGAAUAACAGAAAGGCCAGCUAAAAAAUAUGAUUUUCAUUUUUUUCUGUUUAUUUAUUUCGUAAAUCUGGCUAUAAAAGCCAUGGGUGAAAUCCUUUAUUUUUUACACACACUGUACUGUACACACGCACAGAGAACAAAGAAAAAGCAAUUUAAGAUUAGCAAAGGUGAUUUCAAGCUUUCUUUUGUCCUCUCUUAUGAUUUUUUUUCUUUUUUUAGUUUAUUUUUUCAUUUGGUUCAGAUUUUUUUUAGUAUGUGAGUCGAUCCUAAUGAAAGCUCGAAUACUUCAGAAAUACUGAGGUAAAGGCGAGGGAGCAAAUAGUGUUGAAUCUUUGCUUUAUGAACCUAUCUUCGUUUUUUAAAAAAAAUAAUGUGAGAUUUGAAGUUUUUUUUAAAAUAAAAAAGGGAGGAAGAAAAUACUUACUAAAUUUCUCUAAGCAUGGUCAAGCACCUUCAGCGGAGAGGAUGGGUACUGUUUGCAUACUGUUGAUCACCAAAACAAUAGUGGUUCGGCUGCUAGCAAAAGAAACCCUAGAAAUUUGAUUUCAAGGCUGUGAUUUUCGGCUAAAAUGGGGCUGCAUUUGAAAAGGGAAAUGGGGAAAAAAAGGUUUUAAGUAACCUUUUAACAAAACGAUACCAUUUGCAUAAGUGAAGGCCCGCUCGUCAACUCAUUUGGCAGGCCCGAUCUGCGCAUUGUCACUCAAAAAUGGGGAAUUUGCAUGACGAAUCCUUCCCCUUGCGCACAGCCUUCAAUUUGCGCCCAAUUUGCCUACCUUAUAUUUUAAAAUUUGGCAUGUUAAUUUGUGCGUUGUUUCAAUUUGAUCCGCGGUUCAUUGCAGCAUUGUGGGCACGAGAUAUUUACAAAUUCAGUCCCUAUACAUUUAUGCGCUUUGAGCAUUGGUCCAUGUUAUGAUUACUUUAUUUGCAAAUUAUCCUCCCUAUUUUAUUGCAGUAUUAAUUUGGUCUUAUAGCUGUACAAUUGGUUAAUUUAA